ACAAAAGCCUGAGGAAUCUUGGAGCAAUUUGGCGGUCAACAGAAACGGCUGUUUGAACAGCAUUGCGGAUAAUAGAUUCUGCAAAUGGGCAUGUCUGGGAGUAGAACCCAACUCGCAGUUGCCCUUUUGUCGUAACACCAAAGUAAGCAUGAAUUAUAACAAGGGCAAUAACCAGAGGUUUUAGAUUGUAAUUGUGCAUUUUGAAGACACAGGAGAAUAAGGUAUUGAAGUAAGAG
rnacentral:misc_RNA from 1 species